GCAUCCAUGACAUUGUGUAAUAUGCGGUGAGGAGAGGCUAGGUCGCAGGAGAUGUCGAACCGAUUGCCGCAGUGGUCGGUGCUGGUCCGAUGAUGACAGUGGAGGUGUCGUCGUUACCGAGAAGCGGGCUGGUGAGCCAUUGCUGUUGACAUAACGGAGGAUUCCCUUCCCGGUGAGGAUGGUUUUUGAUUUUUGGGAUGAACCUGACAGAAUAGCCAUUUGAUUGCAGGCUUUGCCGAAAGUGUUGCGGGUAGUGAGAAGCUGCUUGAUCUGGUGUGGUGGAGAUGCCGUCAUUGUCGGCGGCCACUUAAGCUGAAGAGGCAAGUGUUGCUGCUAGUGAAAGUGCGUUCGCCCAUGAGCAAGUGGUAAAGGUUAUACUCUUGUCGCUGAGAAACCAAUAUCGGCGGAAGCCGUUUGCUGGCGC
rnacentral:lncRNA from 1 species